GGUUCCUCCAAGGUUCCUCCAGGGUUCCUCAAAGGUUCCUCCAGGGUUCCUCCAAGGUUCCUCCAAGGUUCCUCAAAGGUUCCUCAAAGGUUCCGUUGAGGUUCCUCCAAGGUUCCUCCAGGGUUCCUCCAAGGUUCCUCCAAGGUUCCUCCAGGGUUCCUCCAGGGUUCCUCCAAGGUUCCUCAAAGGUUCCGUUGAGGUUCCUCAAAGGUUCCUCCAGGGUUCCUCCAAGGUUCCUCCAGGGUUCCUCCAAGGUUCCUCAAAGGUUCCGUUGAGGUUCCUCAAAGGUUCCUCCAAGGUUCCUCCAAGGUUCCUCCAGGGUUUCUCAAAGGUUCCUCCAAGGUUCCAUUGAGGUUCCUCAAAGGUUCCUCCAGGGUUCCUCCAAGGUUCCUCCAAGGUUCCUCAAAGGUUCCUCCAAGGUUCCUCCAAGGUUCCUCCAAGGUUCCUCAAAGGUUCCUCCAAGGUUCCUCCAAGGUUCCUCAAAGGUUCCUCCAAGGUUCCUCCAAGGUUCCUCCAAGGUUCCUCAAAGGUUCCUCCAAGGUUCCUCCAGGGUUCCUCCAAGGUUCCUCCAGCCUUGAGGUUCUCCAGCCUUGAGGUUCUCCAGGUCUGAGGUUCUCCAAAGUUGAGCUUCUCCAACCUCGAGGGUCUCCAACCUCCUCGAGGUCUCCGAACUUGAGCUUCUCCAGAUUUGAGGUUCUCUAGAGCUGAGGUUCUCCAAAGUUGACCCAAAGUUGACCCAAAGUUGAGGUUCUCCAGCCUUCGGGUUCUCCAACCUUGAGGUUCUCCAGAUCUGAGGUCUCCAACCCUGAGGGUCUCCAGACUUGACCCAACCUUGAGGUUCUCCAACCUCGAGGUUCUCCAAAGUUGAGGCUCUUCACCAUCCUUGAGGUUCUUGAACCUCGAGGUUCUCCAACAUUGACCCAACCUCGAGGUUCUUCAACAUCGAGGUUCCUCCACCCUCAAGGUUCUCCAACCUCCUUGAGGUUCUCCAACCUUGAGGUUCUCCAACUUUGAGGUUCUCCAACCUUGAGGUCCCUCAACUUUGAGGUUCUCCAACUUUGAGGUUCUCCAAAUUUGAGGUUCCCCAACCUUGAGGUUCUCCAAAUUUGAGGUUCCCCAACCUUGAGGUUCUCCAAAUUUGAGGUUCUCCAACUUUGAGGUUCUCCAAAUUUGAGGUUCUCCAACCUUGAGGUCCCUCAACCUUGAGGUUCUCCAACCUUGAGGUCCCUCAACCUUGAGCUUCUCCAAAUUUGAGGUUCUCCAACCUUGAGGUUCUCCAACCUUGAGGUCCCUCAACCUUGAGCUUCUCCAAAUUUGAGGUUCUCCAACCUUGAGGUUCUCCAACUUUGAGUUCUCCAACCUUGAGGUUCUCCAAAUUUGAGGUUCUCCAAAUUUGAGGUUCUCCAAAUUUGAGGUUCUCCAACCUUGAGGUCCCUCAACCUUGAGGUUCUCCAACCUUGAGGUCCCUCAACUUUGAGGUUCUCCAAUUCUGAGGUUCUCCAACCUUGAGGUUCUCCAAAUUUGAGCUUCUCCAAA